rnacentral:rRNA from 1 species
AACUUUUGACGGUGGAUCUCUUGGCUCACGCAUCGAUGAAGAACGCAGCCAGCUGCGAUAAGUAGUGUGAAUUGCAGAAUUCAGUGAAUCAUCGAAUCUUUGAACGCAAAUGGCGCUCUUGGGUUCUCCCAGGAGCAUGUCUGUCUGAGUGUCGGAUAUUCAUCCAUC